AUUGAACGCUGGCGGCAGGCCUAACACAUGCAAGUCGAGCGAGCGGCGGGCGGGUGCGUCAUGUAUGGGGACUGCCCGAUAGAGGGGGAUAACUACUGGAAACGGUAGCUAAUACCGAAUACUAUCGGAUAACCCAUAUGGGAUUAGCUAUUAGGUGCGGUAAUGGCUCACCUAGGCGACGAUCCCUAGCUGGUCUGAUAGGAUGAUCAGCCACACUGGGACGUGGACCAGGCCCAGCUUCCUACGGAGGCAGCAGUGGGGAAUAUUGCACAAUGGGCGCAAGCCUGAUGCAGCAAUGCCGCGUGUAUGAAGAAGGCCCUAGGGUUGUAAAGUACUUUCAGUCGGGAGGCGUUACCGACAGAAGAAGCACCGGCUAACUCCGUGCCAGCAGCAGCGGUAAUUC
rnacentral:rRNA from 1 species